GGAUUGGGGCGAUCUGGCUGCGAUAUGUCACCCCACCGAUCACCAGGUUUGAUUCAGUUGAUCUGGCUGGCUAGGCGGGUGUUCCCUUUCUCCCUGACUGCUCCGUGAGCGUCCCUCCUGAAGCUGCUUGCUUGGCCAAAGAGGAUGACUUUCCCCAAAAGAGGAGGACGGAGGCCGGUUCUUCCCUCAAGGGCAUAGAGUAGCUGUGCUCCCCUGCUAGAGGCUCCAAACAAACUCUCAAGGCCUAUUUGAAGGAGAAUGUAGGGUGGUCAAGCUUCCAAGACUCCAGACACAUCCAAAUGAGGUGCAUGUGUCAGUCUGCCUUUCUUU
rnacentral:snRNA from 1 species